rnacentral:rRNA from 1 species
UUCUAAGGGCGUUGAAGCAUGAUCGCAAGGACAUGUGGAGCGCUUAGAAGUGAGAAUGCCGGUGUGAGUAGCGAAAGACGGGUGAGAAUCCCGUCCACCGAUUGACUAAGGUUUCCAGAGGAAGGCUCGUCCGCUCUGGGUUAGUCGGGUCCUAAGCUGAGGCCGACAGGCGUAGGCGAUGGAUAACAGGUUGAUAUUCCUGUACCACCAUUAUUCGUUUUAAGCGAUGGGGGGACGCAGUAGGAUAGGCGAAGCGUGCUGUUGGAGUGCACGUCCAAGCAGUGAGAUUGAGUGUUAGGCAAAUCCGGCACUCUUAAGAUUGAGCUGUGAUGGGGAGAGGAACUUGUUCCUCGAGUCGUUGAUUUCACACUGCCGAGAAAAGCCUCUAGCUAGAAUAACGGUGCCCGUACCGCAAACCGACACAGGUAGUCAAGAUGAGAAUUCUAAGGUGAGCGAGCGAACUCUCGUUAAGGAACUCGGCAAAAUGACCCCGUAACUUCGGGAGAAGGGGUGCUCUUUGAGGUUCACGCUUCGAAGAGCCGCAGUGAAUAGGCCCAAGCGACUGUUUAUCAAAAACACAGGUCUCUGCUAAACCGUAAGGUGACGUAUAGGGGCUGACGCCUGCCCGGUGCUGGAAGGUUAAGAGGAGUGGUUAGCGCAAGCGAAGCUACGAAUCGAAGCCCCAGUAAACGGCGGCCGUAACUAUAACGGUCCUAAGGUAGCGAAAUUCCUUGUCGGGUAAGUUCCGACCCGCACGAAAGGCGUAACGAUUUGGGCACUGUCUCAACGAGAGACUCGGUGAAAUCAUAGUACCGGUGAAGAUGCCGGUUACCCGCGACAGGACGGAAAGACCCCGUGGAGCUUUACUGUAGCCUGAUAUUGAAAUUCGGUACAGUUUGUACAGGAUAGGUAGGAGCCUUAGAAGCGUGAGCGCUAGCUUACGUGGAGGCAUUGGUGGGAUACUACCCUAAUUGUAUUGGAUUUCUAACCCGCAGCACUUAUCGUGCUGGGAGACAGUGUCAGGCGGGCAGUUUGACUGGGGCGGUCGCCUCCUAAAGAGUAACGGAGGCGCUCAAAGGUUCCCUCAGAAUGGUUGGAAAUCAUUCAUAGAGUGUAAAGGCAUAAGGGAGCUUGACUGCGAGACCUACAAGUCGAGCAGGGUCGAAAGACGGACUUAGUGAUCCGGUGGUUCCGCAUGGAAGGGCCAUCGCUCAACGGAUAAAAGCUACCCCGGGGAUAACAGGCUUAUCUCCCCCAAGAGUUCACAUCGACGGGGAGGUUUGGCACCUCGAUGUCGGCUCAUCGCAUCCUGGGGCUGUAGUCGGUCCCAAGGGUUGGGCUGUUCGCCCAUUAAAGCGGUACGCGAGCUGGGUUCAGAACGUCGUGAGACAGUUCGGUCCCUAUCCGUCGUGGGCGUAGGAAAUUUGAGAGGAGCUGUCCUUAGUACGAGAGGACCGGGAUGGACAUACCUCUGGUGUACCAGUUGUCGUGCCAACGGCAUAGCUGGGUAGCUAUGUAUGGACGGGAUAAGUGCUGAAAGCAUCUAAGCAUGAAGCCCCCCUCGAGAUGAGAUUUCCCAACUUCGGUUAUAAGAUCCCUCAAAGAUGAUGAGGUGAAUAGGUUCGAGGUGGAAGCGUAGCGAUACGUGGAGCUGACGAAUACUAAUCGAUCGAAG